rnacentral:rRNA from 1 species
CAAUAGCGUAUAUUUAAGUUGUUGCAGUUAAAAAGCUCGUAGUCGGAUUUUGGCUGAGAACGAACGGUCCGCCGUUAGGUGUGCACUGUUUGGUCUCAGCUUCCUGGUGAGGAGGUGUGCUUCACGGCCACUUAGUCACCGCGGUUACUUUGAAAAAAUUAGAGUGUUCAAAGCGGGCUUACGCUUGAAUAUAUUAGCAUGGAAUAACACCAUAGGACUCCUGUCCUAUUUCGUUGGUCUCGGGACGGGAGUAAUGAUUAAGAGGAACAGUUGGGGGCAUUCGUAUUUCAUUGUCAGAGGUGAAAUUCUUGGAUUUAUGAAAGACGAACUUCUGCGAAAGCAUUUGCCAAGGAUGUUUUCAUUGA